CACUGAUCAUACAGGCCGGCAACUCAGUACUGUAGGCCCUAUCGCGUGCUGAUCAUACAGGCCGAGCAACUUCCAGUACUGUAGGCCCCUAUCACGUACUGAUCAUACAGGCCGGCAACUCAGUACUGUAGGCCCCUAUCACGUACUGAUCAUACAGGCCGGCAACUCAGUACUGUAGGCCCCUAUCACGUACUGAUCAUACUGGCCGGCAACUCAGUACUGUAGGGAAACAUUUGUCUCUUUAGUAACUGUGGUUAAAGUACCCAUAAGAUUGUUUGUAAUAAUCCCACUUUUACCUUAAUUGUGUCAGUACUGAUGUGAAGCCAAGUGAAUAUUGACCAGAUUGUAUGAUGAACUGUCUCCUGUACAUGAACAUGCAAGUUCUCUCACAACAGAUACAAUAUAGCUGCACUAUGGUUUUACUAUCUACAUUUUUCAGCAUGGUAAUUUUAGUUUCUGUAUAUAAGAACCAGAUACAUUUAGCAUUUUGUUUUUGUGUUUUUGUCAUGAGACUUUAAAAUAACCUUACUGUAGGAAUCUUUUAAAGGAUUUUAGGUGAAUUAUUCUUUAAUACUGAUGUAGGCUGCCCCUGUUCACCAGAUGCGCUUUCUCCAACCGUAGUACACAAUGUAAAACAUGGCCACCAGGUCACUGAUCAACUUUGAUUUACUUCUGAUGGUGGCUAUUGUUUCUGAUGGUGGGAACUAUCAGCUCCUGAUUGUGACCAGUUUGAUCUUGACUAUCAGAUUAUACCAAUUUCAAUUAAGUUUUCUUUGUAAUGAUCUACUCUGUCAAGGACAGUUUUUGGUUGAUCUUGAUGAAAAUAUACACUGCAUUUUGCAGUUCUUGCCACCCAUUUUCGAUUGCUUCCUCAGUUUUCUCAAUUUCCUUUUUGAUUUCGGCUUUUAUAUCUCAUGUUAUCACUGAUCUGUUUCACAAGUGAUAACAUAGAAUAGAUGAGCUUUAAAUGUGUAAACAUACCACGUGCCAAAUUACAAGGACCCAAACUGUAGAUACACGUAUCACACCACUAGUUCCCAAGCAAUAUAGAGUGAUGAAGUACUGUUAGACUUAGACUUACUGCACCAAAUAUGAAGUUUUCACACUAGAAAAUGUAAUAUUGGUCACAGAGAAACAGUUCUCGUUGACCUGUCAAUGCUAGAUUCAUAAAAUGUGAUUGCUCAGAAAGAGUCUGAUACCAGAAGAGAUUUGGUUCUCACAAGUGGUAUUCACAGUUCAUUUGCUCAUGUGUUGUUAUGAACCAUCCACAUACAGCUAGCUACACCCGUACACACCCACAUACAGCUAGCUACACCCGUACACACCCACAUACAGCUAGCUACACCCGUACACACCCACAUACAGCUAGCUACACCCAUUAAUACUCCCACAUACAGCUAGCUACACCCGUACACACCCACAUACAGCUAGCUACACCCGUACACACCCACAUACAGCUAGCUACACCAGUACACACCCACAUACAGCUAGCUACACCCGUACACA